CCCUGUUGACAAAGAAAAAAAUGCGUGUAUUACAAAACGAAAGUACCUAAUGUAACAAAUAAUUACUGAAGGCUUAACGCAUAAUCCGCAGAUUAAAUAACAAGAAAAAUGUGGUAAUUUGUAAAUGCCGAUAUUAAGUCAAGUUUCACAGCGGUGAUCACCUCUUUUUCUUCGACCAACGUCGCCACUCGUCCAGGCUGCAACAAAAAUAGGGCGACAAAUGACUAAACGAACAACUUAUGUGUAACAUCGAUUGCGGAGGGAAUAAAAGAAGCAGCGAGUCUUUUUAUUAUACGAUAGAAUGAUAUAAAUUACGUGCAUACAAAGCGAAUACAAAGAAGAAAAUUACGUGCUCGCGAAAGAUAUCAGUUUCUGCGAGUUGAUUUCACGUUAAAUGACAGGCAACUGCAACACGGGAUCAAGAAAAAUUCUUGCCUUGAUAAAUCUUGUCUAUAUGAUGCGAAAAUAAAUGCAAUGGAUUAUAAAAUAAAGCCGAGAAUGAUGGUCAAAAAUAGUCGAAUGUGUAACGAGGGGGAUAUUUUAUAUUUGUCAGAUGAUAUUGUUGCAUUCAAUUGGAGAAAUUAGAGCGGCCAGCUAGUCAGGUGAAACUGUAUCCGAUUUUCAUCAGUCUUAAUGGAGACAUCCAACUCUCAGUUUAGAUCAUCGAAACAGCGAGAUAAAUUUCCUCUGAGGAAACGGGAAAGAUAACGCGUAGAUAAUCUUCGAACUGGAAAUACGUAUUUUUAAUUUCCGAUGCGUAUCUGUCGUAAAUAUGUUCAUUGGUCGAACAAAAACCGAUGUGGACGACUGCCAAAGUUUUGUGAAAGAAUACACGUGGCGAAUGGCGCGCAAGAAUAAGAAAAUCAAAGAUAUAAAUAGAACAGAGACGGAGAUUGUAUAUUAAAAAAAAAAAAAUUCGAUCCAUCGUUGAAUUCUAU